rnacentral:sRNA from 1 species
GAUAUUCAGGCCUCUUCUUUA